AUUGAACGCUGUCGGCAUGCCUAACACAUGCAAGUCGAACGAGUGGCGGACGGGUGAGUAAUGUCUGGGAAACUGCCUGAUGGAGGGGGAUAACUCCUGGCAACGGUAGCUAAUACCUCAUACCCUCUGAUGUGCCCAGAUGGGAUUAGCUUGUUGGUGGGGUAACGGCUCACCAAGGCGACGCUCCCUAGCUGGUCUGAGAGGAUGACCAGCCACACUGGAAAUGAGACACGGUCCAGACUCCUACGGGAGGCAGCAGUGGGGAAUAUUGCACAAUGGGCGCAAGCCUGAUGCAGCCAUGCCGCGUGUAUGAAGAAGGCCUUCGGGUGGUAAAGUACUGUCAGCGAGGAGGCGUUACUCGAAGAAGAAGCACCGGCUAACUCCGUGCCAGCAGCCGCGGUAAUUC
rnacentral:rRNA from 1 species